rnacentral:rRNA from 1 species
UACGUAGGGGGCAAGCGUUGUCCGGAAUCAUUGGGCGUAAAGCGCGUGUAGGCGGCUCGGUAAGUCCGCUCUGAAAGUCCAGGGCUCAACCCUGGGAUGCGGGUGGAUACUGCCGGGCUCGAGUCCGGAAGAGGCGAGUGGAAUUCCCGGUGUAGCAGUGAAAUGCGUAGAUAUCAAGUGGAACACCAGUGGCGAAGGCGAGUCUCUGGACAUUUCCUGACGCUGAGGCACGAAAGCCAGGGGAGCAAACGGG